AAUUCUUUUAAUAAAUAUGGCGUUCCUGCGAAGGGAUAGUCAACUUUAAAAAAAAAAUCUGUUCUUAUCAGUUUAAUAUCUGGGGACCAUAUAUUAAAUGGAUUUUUCGACCAGGGAGAUGGAAAAAGAGCUUGCUCUGUCAACUCUACGCAUUGACCUGGUAUUGCAGUACCUCCAGGACUGGUGCACUCCUU